CACGAAGCCGGAAUCGCUAGUAAUCGCAGAUCAGCAUGCCGCGGUGAAUACGUUCCCGGGUCUUGUACACACCGCCCGUCACACCAUGGGAGUCGGAAAUGCCCGAAGUCUGUGACCCAACCUGAGAGGGAGGGGGCAGCCGAAGGCAGGUCUGAUGACUGGGGUGAAGUCGUAACAAGGUACC
rnacentral:rRNA from 1 species